ACGGCUACAUCACAUUGAAAUACCGGUUCCCGUACGAUCACUGAAGUUAAGCAACAUCGAACCUGGUCAGUAUCUAGAUGGGCGACCACUUGAGAAUACCAGGUGCC